UUUUACAUAUAAAUGAAACAUAACAUUACAAUUUCGUUUUAGUUUUAGUUUUUGCAGGGGGUUGUUGCAAAUAUGAAAUUAACCAUUUUCAUGUUAUAUGUUAAUUAUACAAAUAAAGGCAAGCUGAAGACGUUUCAUACAGAAAAAAUACUUUUACUAUCUUACUAAAUGGAUCAAUUUGACCCGUAACGUAACAGGAGGGUUAAGUCGAUGCACAUUUAUUACCUUUGUACUGAAUGUAGUUACAAUUAAUGUGCACCGAUAUAGUAAUUGUAAGCUCAUGUUGUGUUUUGUUGCUUUCUGUUUUACAGCAUCCAACACAUGUCCAGGCCACUCCUGACCCUUCACGGUUUGGCCAGUGUGGUGUUUUCAAAUGCCCCUGCUUCAGUUUUGACACUGACCAGCGAUUUAAUAACAGCCUACAUCUACAAAACCAUAUCAAACAAGCAGUCGAGAAUAACGGAAAGUUCAGCGUGUUGAACGUGUGACUGAUGAAGGAGAUAGAAUGGGCAACGUCUCCUUUGAACAGAUGCCCCUUAUUCUCAUAGAUACAGUUCUGGAAGAGGGUGACAAAGCUUUUUUAAAGCUGUCACUGGUUUGUCGUCUCUUCCGGGACAUUGUUUGGACAACAAUCAUUCCGGGCCCGGGCACAUUUCGAGUGGCUUGACAGUGUAGUGCCAUGAAAACAUCACAGUGCUGCAUGUAAAGACGAGUUUCGCAGGAUGUACGAACUGCAGUGCUGCCAGAACUGUCAAGAAACUUAUAAAGACUACAUACUGGGCUACGUUGGGCAUGGGAGACGAGGGGAGCUUGUGGCAUUUUACAGCGAAAACGAGCACCCUGGAUUCUGCAGCCAGCUUCAUGAGUGGCUGGGUGUGUGAGUGGCUGGGUGUGUGAGUGGCUGGGUGUGUGAGUGGCUGGGUGUGUGAGUGGCUGGGUGUGUGAGUGGCUGGGUGUUGCAUUUUUAAAUAAAGACUUCUGUAUUUGUUUGACCAAAGCAUGUAACCAAACAUUUUAAAGGCUAGUGUGCCAAUAAAUGCCAAUAAAGAUAUUGUAUUAGCUUGGACAAA